CGCUGCUGCGUCGACUGUUGCUGCUGUGUCGACUGCCGCUACUGUCUCGAUGUACUUCUUAAAGUCAAGUUCGUCGUCGAGUUAGUCGUUGAGUCCGGACAGAUUUAUUCCCAUUUGAGGUACACAACUGUAAUUUUAGCAUUUUGUAAGCUGCAAUGAAGAACGGAAUGUUAAAUUUUUAAUUUAGUUUUUUUUUGUAUUGUAUUUAGAUUAUUCAUGUAUUAUUAUUCUGUCAAUCACUGUCAUUUGGCAUAAUUAGACAUGUUAUAGCGAUAUAUUAAA